UCUCAGUGGAAGGGAUAAGACAAAAAAUCUUGCAUACAAAAGGAGUUAACAUGGUCAGUAACAGAUUUGCAUGACCUAGUGACCUAGAAAUAGUACAGAAUCAUGAAUAUUCAAGAUAUUACAUUCUUUGUUUGAAAAAUUCUACAAAUUUUGUUCAAAAUAUUCGAUUGUAUUUAUUUCUAAAGCACUUUUAACAAUGAACAUUGUCACAAAACAGUUUUACAAGUCAGGAGGCGACAGCGGCAAUGGAAAUCUCCCCGAGAUGACAUCGAUCGGAUCAAGUAUCAAAUAUAAUGUAUGUAAUUGAUUUUUCAAUGUGGUUUCAGACUUUUGGACCCUACUGUACAAAGAGAAAUAAGUGCAGGAGAAGGCGGGAUUGGUCAGAAUUGGGAGCGGCAUUAAAAUAAAACAGUCCACACACACACACACACACACACACCUCUAGUGCAGGUCAGGCGUUUCUAUUCACACUGCCCACGACUCAUGCGUUCAUUCAUUGGAGCCCGUGAAUUGUCUGUACUGGACCAUCACAUUCUUCACAACAUGCAUUACUGCAGUAUAUAGAACGAGCGUAGCGUGGAUGUUGGGCAGGAAUUGAUGCCCUCCUCACAUCAGGGAGAACAUCAGUUGGUGACAUAGAUGAUGUUUUAAACAAACCAUCAAAACGCUGGAGUUGCUCUUUAUGGACCUUUAUCAUAAUCUCAGUGUUGGCUCUCUAGAAGUAGCAUAGAACCUCAAACGUUGACGAGCGUUGGGUAAUAUUGCAAUUGUAAAAUCAUAUCAAAAGUUUUGAUGAAUUUUCACAGUGCAUGAUGGAUGUAAUAUAAUAUUUUGUUUUGCCAGCAAAAACCAGUAUAGCUACUUAAAGGAAAACUCCACCCUGUAUAACUUGCAUAUUAAUCUUUAUGAUUAACAUGACAUCCAAGUCCCAUGUUUCAUUGACGUGUUGUUCUGUUUUCACUUUAGUUAAUGUUCCUGUGUCAUUGGUGGUGCAGUGGGAUUCAGCCCUUGCUUUAUCUCUACUUAAAGAGAGCGAUGCGGCAGCACUUUAGUCCUUCAGUCUGUCCAGCUCUCUCACCUCCUCAUCUAUACACUCUGUUCAAACUUUCAUGUUAAUACCACCAUUAAUGCCAUCAUGCUCAUCUUCUCAUAGGUCACUAACUGCAUCAUAUAGCUGCAUUGCAUUCUGGAACUUUGAGUCCAACGGUCACGCCAACGUUAUUUUUUUUUGCUGGAUUUCGCUAGAAAAUGGCGAGGAAGAAAAUAAGCUCAUGCUCUUUUGUUUUAAAGAGCAAACAGGAAAACCUGACUGUUAUCACUUAUGGUUGAGAUUUUUGCCCCCCCCAUUAAAGUGUGCAAUUGUCCCCCUGUGACAUCAUCCACGGGGAGCUGCUCUCUUCUCACAGGAAUAAUGAAAAUACAGCACCAACCAACAAACUAGCACCAUUCUCAUAUAACGUAUAAGUGUAUCAGGGUGGAGUUUUGCUUUAAAUAUGAACGAUAAAUGUAUUUUUCUUAUUCAAGGAGAAAAAAUGACCGAUAUAUCCAAUCAGCUCCUCGUUUCUGUGCGGAGGUGGUCAGUAUUGGAUCACCGAAUUCGAUCUGGUCUUAGGUUUCAUCCCAAUCAAAGAUUAAUCAUAUGCUUUGUUUCAGUCACCCAAACCUAUCACAUACGCUGCUGAGACGAGUUAGAAAGGAUUAAGAUUUUUACAUUUCCAGCAGCGUCAUGCAUUUCAUCUUUUAAAUUGUGUGUCCUGUGUUUAUGUGUGAACUGAGGGAGGGGAACAGAGGAUGGUUAAACACACUGCGGUGUAAGUGUGCAGUGAAAAAGCAACGUGCUUGCUUAUCUCUACCUUAGAGGAGUUAGAGUUAUCGAUCAUCUCUAUAUAGCUUAUUUUAGGAGAAAAAAAAAAACAGCACAGUAUUUUAAAGAUUUAUAGAAAUAUUUGAGAUUUUUAUGACAUUUAACUGACUUGUGGUGUGCCAAAAAUUGAUGUGAUAUCGGUUAAGAAGCAAUACACACUCUUAAGGGAAACUGUUUGGGGUUUUUUUUUUUUUUAGUUUUGUUUUGAUUUUUGCCAGUAUUCCACGUACAGUAUAUCAAUGCUAUUUCAAUCAAUCAAGAAUUUAUAUAUAGGUCUCAGUGAAAUAGAAAAUAUUUAAAUAUUGAGCUAAUGGCUGUC
ensembl:lncRNA